AACGUAGGACGCAAGCGUUAUCCGGAGUUACUGGGCGUAAAGCGCGGGCAGGCGGCUCGAUGCGUCUGAUGUGAAAGUCAAAGGCUCAACCUUUGAAAGCCGAUGGAUACUGUCGAGCUAGAGUCCGGAAGAGGCGGGUGGAAUUCCUGGUGUAGCGGUGGAAUGCGCAGAUAUCAGGAAGAACACCCGUGGCGAAGGCGGUUCUCUGGGACGGUACUGACGCUGAGACGCGAAAGCGUGGGGAGCGAACAGG
rnacentral:rRNA from 1 species